UACGUAGGGGGCAAGCGUUAUCCGGAUUUACUGGGUGUAAAGGGAGCGUAGGCGGCGAUGCAAGUCAGAAGUGAAAGCCCGGGGCUUAACCCCGGAACGGCUUUGGAAACUGGCCGGCUGGAGUGCUGGAGAGGCAGGCGGAAUUCCUGGUGUAGCGGUGAAAUGCGUAGAUAUCAGGAGGAACACCGGUGGCGAAGGCGGCUGUCUGGUCUGCAACUGACGCUGAGGCUCGAAAGCAUGGGUAGCGAACAGG
rnacentral:rRNA from 1 species